rnacentral:tRNA from 2 species
GGGCCCGUAGCUCAAUUGGUUAGAGCCGGCCGCUCAUAACGGUCUGGUUGCAGGUUCGAGUCCUGCCGGGCCCA